rnacentral:rRNA from 1 species
UACGGAGGGUGCAAGCGUUAUCCGGAUUCACUGGGUUUAAAGGGUGCGUAGGAGGGCAGGUAAGUCAGUGGUGAAAUCUUCGAGCUUAACUCGGAAACUGCCGUUGAUACUAUCUGUCUUGAAUACCGUGGAGGUGAGCGGAAUAUGUCAUGUAGCGGUGAAAUGCUUAGAUAUGACAUAGAACACCGAUAGCGAAGGCAGCUUGCUACACAAAAAAUUGACGCUGAGGCACGGAAAGCGUGGGGAUCAAACAGG